GAUGAACGCCGGCGGCGUGCCUAAUACAUGCAAGUCGAGCGAAUGGAUUGAGAGCUUGCUCUUAUGAAGUUAGCGGCGGACGGGUGAGUAACACGUGGGUAACCUGCCCAUAAGACUGGGAUAACUCCGGGAAACCGGGGCUAAUACCGGAUAACAUUUUGAACCGCAUGGUUCGAACUUGAAAGGCGGCUGAGGCUGUAACUUAUGGAUGGACCCGCGUCGCAUUAGCUAGUUGGUGAGGUAACGGCUCACCAAGGCAACGAUGCGUAGCCGACCUGAGAGGGUGAUCGGCCACACUGGGACUGAGACACGGCCCAGACGCCUACGGGAGGAAGCAGUAGGGAAUCUUCCGCAAUGGACGAAAGUCUGACGGAGCAACGCCGCGUGAGUGAUGAAGGCUUUCGGGUCGUAAAACUCUGUUGUUAGGGAAGAACAAGUGCUAGUUGAAUAAGCUGGCACCUUGACGGUACCUAACCAGAAAGCCACGGCUAACUACGUGCCAGCAGCCGCCGCCG
rnacentral:rRNA from 1 species